rnacentral:ncRNA from 1 species
CACAAAGGCUUGGUCCUGACUUUAUUAUCAACUUUAGCCAGAUUUACACAUGCAAGUAUCCGCCCCCCUGUGAAAAUGCCCUACAGUUCCCUGCUGGGGAACAAGGAGCCGGUAUCAGGCUCGACCACAAAUCAUGCCCAUGACACCUUGCUUAGCCACACCCCCAAGGGAACUCAGCAGUGAUAAACAUUAAGUUAUAAGUGAAAGCUUGACUUAGUUAAGGCCAAGAGGGCCGGUAAAACUCGUGCCAGCCACCGCGGUUAUACGAGAGGCCCAAGCUGAUAAGACUCGGCGUAAAGAGUGGUUAUGACCCCAAACCUAACUAAAGCCAAAUGCCCACAAAGCUGUUAUACGCACUCGAGGGCCAGAAGCCCACCCACGAAAGUCGCUUUAUUGAACUGAAUCCACGAAAGCUAAGGAACAAACUGGGAUUAGAUACCCCAUUAUGCCUAGCCCUAAACUUUGAUAGCAAAUUACAAUGCCAUACGCCCGGGAACUACGAGCACGAGCUUAAAACCCAAAAGACUUGGCGGUGCUUUAGACCCACCUAGAGGAGCCUGUUCUAGAACCGAUGACCCCCGUUCAACCUCACCUUUUCUUGCUCAUACCGCCUAUAUACCGCCGUCAUCAGCUUACCCUGUGAAGGACCAACAGUAAGCACAAUUGGCACAGCCCAAAAUGCCAGGUCGAGGUGUAGCGUAUGGAAAGUGGAAGAGAUGGGCUACAUUUGGUGAAACACCACACUUACGGAAAGUGGGCUGAAACGCCCACCAGAAGGAGGAUUUAGCAGUAAGCAGAAAAUAGAGCGUUCUACUGAAGCCGGCCCUGAAGCGCGUACAUACCGCCCGUCACUCUCCCCAAAAAGAACUCAAAGAAUAUACCUAAACACAAUAAAUCUAAAAGGGGAGGCAAGUCGUAACAUGGUAAGUGUACCA